CGGGGCGUAGCGCAGUUGGUAGCGCGCAUGCAUGGGGUGCAUGAGGCCGUGAGUUCAAAUCUCGCCGCCCCGA
rnacentral:tRNA from 1 species